rnacentral:lncRNA from 1 species
UGAUGUGGACAGCUCGAAAAAGCUUGAAAAUAGUUCAUUUUAUAUAGUUGAGAUAAAGGUCAUAAUACAAUUAGUUUAGUUGGCCGAGAAAUAAUAUAAUCAGAUGAGUUUGGUUUGCAAUGGAGUUUUUGAAAAAAUAGGUUUUCACUUUUCAGUGAGUUGAUUAAAUAUAUCGCACGUUUUUUAAUAUCUAAGAAACCAUACAUAAUUUAGUGCUAUAAUUAAUUAGUUUUGGCAAAGUGGCCUAAGUUAGGCCAU